ensembl:lncRNA
GUAAUAUUCUGCAUAAUACCUGAGUUUUAUGUCAUUAGAUCAAAUAUACUGUAGAAAUCAGAAUCACACUGCAUACAAAAGUCACGUGUUUCCAGUUACUUUUACUAUAUAUCUAUUGGACUGAGGUGCUUUUCUACUUAUGCUUUGUUUGUAGUAUUGUUUAGUAAGUUUUGUGUCUAUGUUGUAGACUAGAUUUAGAUCAAGCUAUAAUUUAAUGUGUAACAUCAUGGGCUUAAUAGUUCUAUAGAAUGCAUUCAUUUUGAAUGUAGCUGUUUACAGUUUACCAAUUAACAGUUUACCUAGCUUUUUAUUAGUGUGUAUUACUGUGCAACCAUCAGUGAAAAUUUGUUUCAAGGCAGGUGCUUAUAUUUUGUAAUCAAAUAUAAGUUACCCAGGCCAGGUUUAAGGGAGCACGUAGUUUUAGCUUGAAGGAAUAGUUCAGCCAAAAAAAACAAACAAAAAAAAAAACUCACCCUCAGGCCAUCCAAGAUGUAAAUGAGUUUGUUUGUUCAAUUAGAACAGAUUUGGAGAAAUGUAGCAUUCCAUCACUUGCUCAGCAAUGGAUCCUCUGCAGUGAAUGGGUGCCGUCAGAAUGAGAGUCCAAACAGCUGAUAAAAACAUCACAAUAAUCCACAGCACUCCAGUCCAGCAAUUAACAUCUUAUGAAGCAAAACGUUGCGUGUUUAUAAAAACAAAUCCAUCAUUAGAACGGUUAUAACUUCAAACUGUUGCUUUUGGCUAAAAUAUGAGUCCGUAAUUCAUAAUAUUGCUUCCUCCAGUGAAAAAGUCAUCUCGUCCGAAUCAGGAGAGAAAUAUGCACAGAUCAAACACCACUUACAACAACAACAACAACAACAUUACAAAAAACAUCCGAGAAACAAUUUUAAACAAACAUGUGGGUGGAUUUAGGAAUUUUGGAUUUGGCUCUCAUUCUGACGGCACCCAUUCACUGCAGAGGAUCCAUUUGUGAGCAAGUGACGUAAUGCUAAAUUUCUCCAAAUCUAUUCUGAGAAACAAGAAUCAAACUCAUCUACAUCUUGGAUGGCCUGAGCAGGAGUACAUUUUCAGCAAACAUACAAAAUUUUAUGUGAACUAUUCCUUCAACAGCAGCUUAUGUGAUGUUUUCCACUAGAAUCCCCAGGAAUCAGCAUUGAGGAUGAUAGCAAAGGCUUGUAUUUGGAUGUAUAAUUCUGUGUUUGUUUGUCACUAUUGAAGUUUCUGGAAGCAUUGUUAGAUUUUGAAGCCAUCACUGACACCGACCUUGCGGGUACAAAUUGCACUUUGAAACUGAUUGGCAGAAAACAGACGUCUUUGCUGGUGUAUUGUGUUAGAAGACAUUCCAGCUAAAACAAUUGGUGUUUUGGAACUACAUGAUGACAUUUAUUGUACUAAUUCCUAAUGGGGAAUGAACUGGACACAGCACUUUGUGUUUCUUACACAGUUAAAAAGAGAUUUAAGGAUAAAAAAUGUAAUGGUGAAGAAAGAAAUUACACAUCAACUUAAAUAAUUCCCUAAUAUGCUUGGCUUAUAGAAGUGGUUCUCAGGUGGUUUUGCUUCAGGACGCCAUCAAGUGGUGACUCAAGUAUUUCCUCAAAGGACUGUUUGCAUUACAGGUCUCAGCUCAAGGUUCUCCACACCCAAGUGCUUUAGGAAUAUUUAUUUCAAAAUGAUUUAUUUUAAUCAUCUAGCUGUGUACAUGACAGAUCACAACAGUGACAAUAAGCUAUGCUUCUCAAGGAUUCAGAUUUAUUCUUUUCAGGGUCCCUUAAAAAAUGUAAUUAUACACUCCAUUGAAAUACAUGUAUUGAGCAAAAGUGCAAUCUAAAUUAUAGCCUAUAUUAAUCCACUUUUGGACUGCAUUUUAAGCAUCCAAGUACUCAUAACUUCUGAAAUAUUCACCUCAGGUAUUUUCGGUGUCAUGAACAGACAGCAAAAGCCCAAGACAACGUCAAUCCCAUCAGCAGUAGAAACACCCUUUAUUCUGCAGUGAUUGUCCGUGUAGAAGUAAAUAGCCUACAUAGGCGUAUGGUGUGUGACAUUUUAUUAAUACAAUAUCAGAGUUAUAAAAUG